rnacentral:rRNA from 1 species
GCUAGCAACAAUAGUACGUUGAAUUUGAAUGCACUAGUUCCCAAUGAAUCACUGAAGUUGAGCAACGUUGCACGUGGUUCGUAUCCGGCUGGGUGACCAAUGACCAUCAAUCGCGUCCUGCUGGCU